rnacentral:rRNA from 1 species
CCUACGGGAGGCUGCAGUGAGGAAUAUUGGUCAAUGGGCGGAAGCCUGAACCAGCCAAGUAGCGUGCGGGAUGAAGGCCCUACGGGUCGUAAACCGCUUUUGCACGGGGAUAACACCCUCCACUUGUGGAGGUCUGCAGGUACCGUGCGAAUAAGGGCCGGCUAAUUCCGUGCCAGCAGCCGCGGUAAUACGGAAGGCCCGAGCGUUAUCCGGAUUCAUUGGGCUUAAAGGGAGCGUAGGCGGGCGUUCAAGUCAGCUGUAAAAGCGCGCGGCUCAACCGCGCCCCGCAUUUGAAACUGGACGCCUUGAGUUCACAACAGGCAGGCGGAAUUCGUGGUGUAGCGGUGAAAUGCAUAGAUAUCACGAGGAACCCCGAUUGCGAAGGCAGCCUGCCGGGGUGCGACUGACGCUGAGGCUCGAAGGUGCGGGUAUCAAACAGGAUUAGAUACCCCUGUAGUC